UGGCAGAACCUGCGGGCUAAGGUGGGAGGCUCACCCUCAGGGAGGAAAGGAAGCGAGGACCGCACGGCUGGGCAGCGAGGAGACGUUUGGAGUCCGGGGCUCAGGCCGCCUACACCUCCUCCUGCAGCGGACACGGCGCAGCGGGCGGCGCACCGGCCCCUUCGGCUACCCUGCGCGCAGGUGGCAGUGUGGAAGCCCAAAACGGGAGCUUUCCAAAGUGGCUUCUGAAAAAUAAGAGUGAAUAUACAUGAGUAAGCUAGUACAGGAAUCAGAAAAACCACAGAUGGAGAAACUGAGUCCUGGAAGGUCGUGACAUCCUUGAAGUUACACAGAGAACUGAAGUAGCAUAUGGCUCACCUAGAAGGUAAAGGUGAGAACAGCUUCUACUUGAUGGGUACCCUCUUGAAGAGAAAUACUUUUGCUC